UCUUCCGUAGGUGAACCUGCGGAGGGAUCAUUACCGAGUUUGACAACUCCCAAACCCCUGUGAACAUACCACUUGUUGCCUCGGCGAUCAGCCCGCUCCCGGUAAAACGGGACGGCCCGCCAGAGGACCCCUAAACUCUGUUUCUAUAUGUAACUUCUGAGUAAAACCAUAAAUAAAUCAAAACUUUCAACAACGGAUAUCUUGGUUCUGGCAUCGAUGAAGAACGCAGCAAAAUGCGAUAAGUAAUGUGAAUUGCAGAAUUCAGUGAAUCAUCGAAUCUUUGAACGCACAUUGCGCCCGCCAGUAUUCUGGCGGGCAUGCCUGUUCGAGCGUCAUUUCAACCCUCAAGCACAGCUUGGUGUUGGGACUCGCGUUAAUUCGCGUUCCCCAAAUUGAUUGGCGGUCACGUCGAGCUUCCAUAGCGUAGUAGUAAAACCCUCGUUACUGGUAAUCGUCGCGGCCACGCCGUUAAACCCCAAUUUUUGAAUGUUGACCUCGGAUACAGGUAGGUAUGA
rnacentral:rRNA from 1 species